GACUCUAGAAUCACCUAGGAGACAAGUCUCUGGGCAUGCCUAGGAAAAGCUUUGAAGAUUUGGAUUAAUAGGGGUGGACCCUGACCAUGGGCGGCACAAUUCCAUAGGCUCAGAUCCCAGACAAUGAAAGAGAGCAAGCUGAGCAGUGUUCUCUCUGUUACUGGACUGCAGAUGAAAUGUGACCGGCCACCUAAAGCUUCUCUCGCCCUGCCUCUGCUGCCACUGUGGGCUCUCUUCUCAAACUGAGCCAAAACAAACCACUUCUUCCUUCCUUAAGUUAUGUUCAUUGGCUAUUUCAUUACAAAAAUGAGAAAAGUAACUACUAUCCCUGCCCGCUGAUAUUCAGCACAAAGCAGCCUCAGAGACACUGACCAGACAGCUCAGCUCAGAUGGAGGAUGCGCUUGUGCCUUUACAUGUGGCAGAAUUGAGCCAUGUGGUAUAGGGGAAGGUAGUGGUUCUAAUUGGUUUUUGAUUGUGUCAAUAAAGGAAGCAGAAGCUAAUUAUUGGGCGAAGGAAAAAAGAUGGGAUAUACGGGUUGCCAAAGGAAAAGGGGAGGCAGGGAGAAAGAGGAUUUGGACCAGGUUGUGGAGCUGGUAGGAAGCUACAUACGUGUAGGGCUCAGGCACCUAAUAGUGUGUAGCCUCUGCUGGGAACAGAGGCCAAGGAAGAUGGAAGGAGCUAGUUGCUAAGAUUAGGGUAGGAAAUUCUUUGCCCAGCCAUUGGGUUAUCUGGCUAUUAUUUAAAAUAAUAAAACUGUCUAGUGUUUUCCAUUCGUGGCAAUAAGGUGGGCAGGAGGAGAAAGUGGGUGGCCAGGGUGGUUAUUGGUAGCUUGGCCAAGCUAGUCAUGAGAGGCCGCUGGAGUGUGGACAGCAGCUCCUGGAUUCCGCAGGUUGGGGGAUAGUUGCGAUCGAGUUGGAGAUAGGGGAACCGGGAGAGGUCACAGCAAGGGCCAUGGCACCAGGCAAAGAGAUAGUGUGAUUUUAAAACUAUACACAACAAUGUGGCCUCCUCCCUAAGGAUUAUGGAACAUGUGCUCCAAUUCCCCAUUCUGGAUUCCAUUUCCAGAAUCUUCCUAAUUGCUUGUUGAAGCCACCACUGCCAAAUACGGCUGUCACUUCUGCCUCUUUCUUCCCUCAGCUUCACCGAAGCACUUGACACAGCUGACCUGCCUCUUCCUUCAUGCUCCAGUCCUGUGACAUCAACCUUGACUGAUUGGCUUUCUCACACACUCUUCGACCUCUUCAGCUGCUUCUUCCUCCAAUGCAGAGGGAUGACACCAUUUCCUUCUUUUUUCUUCUAUUUUCUUCUCCUCUGCUGGAGGAAAGGAUCUCGUGAGUGUCCCUACACCCCUGAAGCAGUGAUUUGUUUUGCCUCACAUUAGAGGAAAGCAAUGUAAAGGUGAACCCAAGGAAUACUGCAGCCAUAUUUACAGAGACUUUGGCUCACCGGAACCUGAUGGCCAGGUGGCAGGGCAGCGUCUGAGGCCUGGACUUGCCUGAAAUUGCCCAGUUCUUGGAAACAGAGCUUAAUUCUUCUUAACUGCCAACUUGAAGCCUGUCAUGAAAUCAGCCUUGCCUUCUCAGUUCAGGAUCAUCUCUUACAGCGUUACUUCAAACAGCAAGAGUUGCCCAAUUACAAAUGUAAACUAUAACAUUUUAUAGCACUAUUUUUUAAAUGAAUAUUAUUAAUAAAAGGAAAAGUG